GUUAAUUUUGUUGCGCCAGAAGCUAAUCAGCCGGUAACGUGACUACACUGAUAUAAUUUGUGAUACAAACAUGCUUUAUUCAAUACUGAGUAGCAUUUUUAAACGGCGACAUUUUGAACAUUUUUAUAUUUAGAGUGAGAGUGGAUACACGUUACACUGGCGCCGACAUUUUGAAAAUUUGAGGAAACAAAAACAUUCUCCAACGAGUUCUUCAGCUCGGGGAAUGAGAGAAUAGAUUCACCUUUGUGUCGCUUUUCAGAUCGUAUUUAAUUCCUUUCCGAAUAUGGACGGCACUCCAUUACAGCAUGUGCAUGGUUGGACCUGUUGACAUUUUUAGAAACGCAUCUUGGUCUAUUAUACAGAGUAUUGUUGUACUGCUCCAAAGUGCUUGUUGACAGACUGAAACCACUUGGUUGCGGCUCAUAAGGUUCACUUCUUGAGAGCAGGCAGCUACAAAAUGGAAGGUCAACAAAUCCAGUAUACUUGAAAAGCAAGAAAGAAACACCAGAAAAUAUAAAAAGACAGAAGAACAAGGGAACUUUAAUAAAAAAAAACUUUUAAGGAUAGGAAUUCAGGAUUUAUUUAGAAACUAAAUAUAUUUUGAGAACAGCAGUGUUUGACUAAGCUCUGUUACUUUAAGAGAUAAUGUGAUUAU